rnacentral:rRNA from 1 species
UUUUCGUAGGUGAACCUGCGGAGGGAUCAUUACACAAAUAUGAAGGCGGGCUGGAACCUCUCGGGGUUACAGCCUUGCUGAAUUAUUCACCCUUGUCUUUUGCGUACUUCUUGUUUCCUUGGUGGGUUCGCCCACCACUAGGACAAACAUAAACCUUUUGUAAUUGCAAUCAGCGUCAGUAACAAAUUAAUAAUUACAACUUUCAACAACGGAUCUCUUGGUUCUGGCAUCGAUGAAGAACGCAGCGAAAUGCGAUAAGUAGUGUGAAUUGCAGAAUUCAGUGAAUCAUCGAAUCUUUGAACGCACAUUGCGCCCUUUGGUAUUCCAAAGGGCAUGCCUGUUCGAGCGUCAUUUGUACCCUCAAGCUUUGCUUGGUGUUGGGCGUCUUGUCUCUAGCUUUGCUGGAGACUCGCCUUAAAGUAAUUGGCAGCCGGCCUACUGGUUUCGGAGCGCAGCACAAGUCGCACUCUCUAUCAGCAAAGGUCUAGCAUCCAUUAAGCCUUUUUUUCAACUUUUGACCUCGGAUCAGGUAGGGAUACCCGCUGAACUUAAGCAUAUCAAUAAGCGGAGGA